ensembl:lncRNA
GUCAUUAGCCUAAUUACUUAAUUAAUUGUCUGUGGCGCCGUCCCAUUUGAGCUGCGUCUUCAUUAUCUGAUGUUUGGCCUUGGCACCAGUUUAGUAUGUUUGAUGAAAUCUGGUCCUGGUGAUAAUUUCUCCCCGUCACACUCCCGUAAUGAGAGGUGUGGAGGCUCCAUAUGGUGGUGUUUGCGCUCGAGUACCCAUUGAGAAUGUCACUUGCUAAUACUAAAUCACCUAUCUUGAGCGAGUGUUUGUGAGCGUUGCAAGAGGGAUCCUGAGUUCAUCAGAACAUGCCUCUUGGCAUCUCUCUGCGAUGUGUCCCCUGCUGCCAGCUUGCCAAGACACCGACCUUAAUGACCUGUGACUAUUCAAAGGCCUUUUCAUUUACAGUCACAGAGCUGUUAUUAAAUCCGGAGUGUAUGAUUUCUGAGCUGCUGACAUCAACUGGACUUGGAAAAAUAAAAAAAUAGUAGUGAUUUGACAUUGGUUAUUUGAUGAUAGACCCACCCCUUUGGUUGACAAAUGUUUUCUGUUUGAAAAUGUUCAACAGAUAAUUACAGAUAUAGUAGCUUUCUCAAGAUAUUAUCAGUACGGAUGUACUGGUGCCAUAUUGGUAAAGUCACACACACAAAAAAAGUGUCAAAUUAUAGUAAAAACAACUACAUGCACUUAGAAAAUACAUUUCAGAUAAUUUCUUGCCAACUUUAACCGCUGACAUUUCAUAUUUAAUUGUUCACGCUCAAUUCCCCUAUUUUUAUAUGUAGAUGAAUUUAUCUCCUAUCAUCUAACACGUCAUUCAAUUGGUGCAUCUCUAAUUAUCGGUAUAUUUGAUACAAACAAUGUUUUGUUUUGAUAGCACCUCUGAGCCAAAUUUUUGGGGAAGUUAUACUUCAGAUGUCUUACUUGCAGCUGCCUCUGCAUGUUUAUUUUGCCGAAAUAAAGAAAAUUGCACACAUCCAGCUUUCCUUGUUUUUCUAAAUGUUAAAACCGUGACAGUGGCAUGAUAUGUUUCCGUUUAGCCAUAUCCUACAUGGCAAGAAAAUAGCACAAUGUCAUUUUAUACAUGGGGAAGAUAUGCCUAUAUCUUAUGCAUUUAAUCUGUUUGCAGUGUUCUCCAGUUUAAGAAUAAUUUUUCACCGUGCCUCUGCAGAGAAUAAACCCACCGCACUCUCAUUUAGGACGUUAGCAUACAAU